rnacentral:rRNA from 1 species
UACACUCCUACGGGAGGCAGCAGUGGGGAAUAUUGCACAAUGGGCGCAAGCCUGAUGCAGCCAUGCCGCGUGUAUGAAGAAGGCCUUCGGGUUGUAAAGUACUUUCAGCGGGGAGGAAGGCGAUAAGGUUAAUAACCUUGUUGAUUGACGUUACCCGCAGAAGAAGCACCGGCUAACUCCGUGCCAGCAGCCGCGGUAAUACGGAGGGUGCAAGCGUUAAUCGGAAUUACUGGGCGUAAAGCGCACGCAGGCGGUCUGUCAAGUCGGAUGUGAAAUCCCCGGGCUCAACCUGGGAACUGCAUUCGAAACUGGCAGGCUAGAGUCUUGUAGAGGGGGGUAGAAUUCCAGGUGUAGCGGUGAAAUGCGUAGAGAUCUGGAGGAAUACCGGUGGCGAAGGCGGCCCCCUGGACAAAGACUGACGCUCAGGUGCGAAAGCGUGGGGAGCAAACAGGAUUAGAUACCCCUGUAGUCCCAUG